AUUGAACGCUGGCGGCAUGCUUUACACAUGCAAGUCGAACGGUAACAGGCCUUCGGGUGCUGACGAGUGGCGAACGGGUGAGUAAUGCAUCGGAACGUGCCCAGAGGUGGGGGAUAACGCAGCGAAAGCUGUGCUAAUACCGCAUGUGAUCUGAGGAUGAAAGCGGGGGACCAGGCAGCAAUGUUUGGCCUCGCGCCUUUGGAGCGGCUGAUGUCAGAUUAGGUAGUUGGUGGGGUAAAGGCCUACCAAGCCGACGAUCUGUAGCUGGUCUGAGAGGACGACCAGCCACACUGGGACUGAGACACGGCCCAGACUCCUACGGGAGGCAGCAGUGGGGAAUUUUGGACAAUGGGCGCAAGCCUGAUCCAGCAAUGCCGCGUGCGGGAAGAAGGCCUUCGGGUUGUAAACCGCUUUUGUACGGAACGAAAAGGCUCUGGCUAAUACCUGGGGCUGAUGACGGUACCGUAAGAAUAAGCACCGGCUAACUACGUG
rnacentral:rRNA from 1 species